rnacentral:tRNA from 1 species
GGCCCCUUGGUCAAGCGGCUAAGACGGCGCCCUCUCACGGCGCAAUCGUGGGUUCGAUUCCCGCAGGGGUCACCA